ensembl:lncRNA
UCUUCUUCUUCUUCUUCUCCUGCGACGCACAGCAGCAGCACCGCCGUGUCAUCCAAGACCUCCACUGGGCUGACCAACGGGAACACGAGGCCCGUAUCCACGACGACCGCCACGCCCAUCACGCCCUUCCACACGCCGGCCAGCCCACCCGGCCGACAGGUAGAAACACUCACAUGUCUCUAGUUUACUUUUAUAGAACUGAAAUCCCUCAUGAAGCUAACACAUAUUUCCUUGUGUGAUGCGUUAAAACUAAUUAAGUACCAAUAUUCCCAGAAUCACGUUCGUACCAUGUGGUGUCCUAAUGUGUAAAUAUCGAUGUAUUCAUGACAUUCAUGUCAUCUUCGAUGAAGGCCAACCAAAUUUCUAACGACACGGAGCAACAGGUGUCGCGUAUUUCCGCUCCGGCCUUUUUCCUUUAAAACAGUCCACGGACGUGUCUAAACGCCUCUUUUGUUUUGCUCCAGGUAUCACAGCCCGCGGGCACACCUGGUCCUGUGCGAGCCAACCAGAGCCCCUCCCCCGUGAGGCAGCGGGUCUCCCAGCAGACCCUGCUCCUGGGGAAAGGUCUCAAAGGGUCUGGGCCAGACCAGGUGCUGCUCAGAGCUCAGAUGGUAAACACACACUUCCACUCGUACCCAUGUGAUGCUCUGAUUGGCCGCUCUCCUCUUCUUAUUUCCUCCCUUUUGUUCCCUCCUCUUCCUCCAGCAGCUGAUUCUCACGUCUGCUAUGCGACCUUCCCUUUCCUCUUCCUCCUCUUCCUCCUCUCCUCCUUCCUCUAACCAUGCCUCCGCUAAGGUGAGCAGCGGGGCAAAAAAACCACCGCUUCUAGGCCCCGCCCCUUUUAUUUACAUUCAUUUUAGGUUUGAAGUCAGCUUCACAUAUGAUGACGUAUGUCUGUUAAACAUACAGAUGUGAAGCCUGCAUCCUGCAGCCGGUUAGCAUAGCUUAGCACGAAGACUGGAAACAGACAUGAGCAACACGUUAAGGACACGUUAAGGACACGUUGAGAAGAUGUCGGAGGCUGACUGUUUCUUUCUGUCUCCCCAUCCAGCUCCAGAGCCUCACCCUGAGGCCCCCCCCCCCACGGGGCCCUCACCAUCCCUCCCUCCCUUCGCCUCAAGCCGCCGUGCUCGGCCCCGCCUCCCCUCUCUCGCCCUCAUGCCCCCCUCUUCCCCCCCCUGAGGCCGCGCCCGCAGUCCUGCCACACGGCGACGGAGAGACCAAACGCGCCCGGGCGCCACCUCUCCGUCCCGCCUCCGACUCUUUACUCUCCGGUCCGAGUCGUCCCUCUGAGACCCCGCCUCCACCCUGCAAACAGCCACAGGGCGGCGGUGCCGCGGGUGACCACGCCCCUCCAGCCAAUCGGCGCCGCCGCCCCCCCCCGCCUGUCGGGCCCCCCUCCCCGUCAGCAGGCCGG